CACGUGACAUUUUUUUUUUUUUUUUUUUCCUUUUUUUCCCCCGACUCAGGCGGGUGUUUGUGGCGGUGGCAUGAGGCUUCACUUGGUUGUAACCUGUUAUAACUUAUUCAUUUUGCGCUGCUCAAAAACUUUUGCGCGCUGCUAGUGUGCGACGUCAACCGAAUGAUGACCGCUUGUGCGUAUUUCUCGUACACGGGAAGGCUAGCUUCACUGCAAUGUCGCGAUGUCUGAGAACCCCAAGGUGAUCCUUGUGUUCAGCGGAAAGAGAAAGUCGGGAAAGGACUACAUAACAGAGACACUGAGGAAAAGGUGAGCCCACAGUAUGCCUUCUCACUGCACGGCUGCUGUACACGAUGCAGAAACAGCAAGAUAUAAUGGAAGGAAUAACGUGACUCACAAGAGCAGUGGCACAAAUGUAACCCACAAAACAUUUCCCUAUAGUGCCAACUCUAUAAAGAGUUGGCACAGGCACUCUCGGUAGGCUAAAAUAAUCUAGCCGGUUCAAAAAGACGGGCUCUGCAAGUUCAGCCUGUGCCUGUACUUGCAAAAAUUUGAAAUGAAUUUUGCACCAAACUAUAAGCUACCAGAAAUUGUAAAAUAAUUGUCAUUACAACAACUGUAGAAAGCUAUAAAAAAAUAGGUAUUUUACUAUAAAAACGUAUAAAGUUGGCAGAUAUGACAUUGACUAACAAGUGAACGGCCCUUUCAAAACAAACUCAAAUACAAGGUGCACAUUGCACAUUCACAGUCUUAAAACAAGUAGAAUGUUUAACUUCAAAAAUCUAUUCAGAAUGUCGCUUUAUUUAACAUGAAAGUACAUUGCACAUUGUAUUUUUGUAUGCAUUUGGGAAGAUAUUCAAAUUUUUAUAAUCGAAAAAAUAAAAAUGUCAAUGACUAGUAGUCAUAUUACCAUUGAUUACAAUCUAAAUUGUGCUAAGUAAAUGAUGUGGUAGAGACUUCUGAAAACAACAGCUAACCUCGAUAAAUGAAUUCAGUAAAUUGGCAAUUUGCUUCAUUACAUCGAAAUUCGAUCUUUGAUGCAAAUAAGUACAGUCGCCGAUGGAUUUUUAUUACACGGAGGGGGCCGCAAAAUUUUCCGAAUUAUCGGGCAAUUGGAAACAGCAAAUUUUAAUUAGAACCAUCAUUUUGUUGAGAUUCAGCAACGAAAGAUAUAACUUCAUGCCGUGUCGACGAUAUUUUCACACCAGCCACGCUUUUGCUUGCACUCCGCCCUCGCAACAGAUAGUAUCGUCCACAGUGGGGCGACGCUAUCAUGAAAAUCACCGGCAAUGGGAAGCGAAUGCUUUCCAUGCCGACAGCCAGGCGCCGCCACGGCUGCGCUAGAAAGAAGACGCGCGCGCAACCUUCCCCCUACUCUCCCUCCGCUCUCGCGUGCACUUGAUCGCAUUUUACCACGAGCUCGCUGCCCCUUUCUCCUCGCAAGUGCGGAAAGACGGUGCUCAUCAAGCCACCAUCCUUCUCGGCGUACCUCAACACGUUCCCUCGCACGCUUUCACUCGCACCGAAAGCCUACAGCGUGCGUGGCGUGAAAAGAUCGUAUCGCAAUUGGACUUCAUACAGAACAUUUAACUGUAUAUAUUGCCUUUUUUUUUUUUGCACCUGAACAGCAUGAAUUCCUACAAUUUGGAACACACACAAUUUACUAGAUCAUUUUACGGCUGACUCAGUAAAAACGAGCCCCAGUCAGCUUACACCAAGUGAUACUGGUCAUUCUGUUACACACACUGGCAGUUUCUUCAAAUGUAAGCACCUUCC